rnacentral:piRNA from 1 species
UCGGAGCCUGCUAGAGCCUGCAGAAUGUGGU